GAGAAUUCUGGUGCUGGUGCUCAGUGCCUAUUUGCUCAUUCUGACCCAGCCCAGGAUUCCAUUCUGUUGAGUGGAGCCACCCACAUUUAGCAUUUGUCUUCUCACCCAAAUUAACCUAAACUAGUAAUUCACUGAGAAAUUCAUGUCUACAGGCUUGUCUCCCAGGUGUCUCUAGAUCUUCCCAUGCUGACAACCAGUAUCGGCCAUCCAGAUCUCUCUCCCUGAUGAGCCCAGGGCUAGGUGAGGUUAGAACACAGGUAUGCUUCAUAGUUGCCCACUGUGUUUGCCUUUCUCACUACAUCAAGCUGUUUCUACUUCAUAUCUUCAUUACAUGAAUUCUGCCUUCCAGAAGGAAGCCUCAUCCUCCACCAUGUUCUCUCAAGUGCUGCAGAAUGGGAUCAGUAAGCUGAUGUCGAGCGUUUGAGGGAGCUGAACCCUCCUGUGUCCUUCUGUGCUGAGGAGACAUGAACCUCUGCUUCUGCAAGAGCAUGCCCCAGUUCUCAGUCAGCAUGUGAUGAACAGUCUGUUUACUUCUAACCCUGAUCAAAGAUAUUGUACAGAUUGAUGUCUCACAAUGGCCGCCUUGUAAGGGAAAUACCAUGUGAUCAGUGCUGGCCACAAGAAGCUGAGCAUUCUGAGAAGGUGCAUCUGGGAGAUGUCUGUGUAAAGUCAUCUCUGAUCCGAAUGUGUAAGCCUGGAGCCCUGGUGGUUCCUGCACCUGCGUGGCUAGCUCAUUAAUGUAAGGGAGAAUGAGAAAGAGAAAGCAAGAGGAAACCUCAUGGGAUUGCUGAACACCUGCACAGACUCCAGAACCCACCUGUGGCUGUGUGUUAUUCGAGGAACACAUUUCUCAUUGUUGAAACUAUUCACCUUACAGCUUUCUCCUGUUUCCAAGUUUCCCCAAGGAUCUACUUUGCUGCUGCCAUGUAAAUAGUGCACUCUGAAGACAAACACAUGCUGCAUAAUACUGCUGUAUGGAUUCUGGGAAUCUGAGCUCAAGGCAUUGUGUUUGCAAAGCAAGGCUCUUACCCAUUGAACUAUCUCUCUAGUCACCAAUCAGGAGCUUAUACGACCAUCAAGGUCUCUGGUGGAAAACAAGUGAGUAAGAACUGGAGGCUGGAGGCACACUGGAUUGAGGAUGGGCAAGAUGGUGGUCACAGCCUUAAGCUAGGAAAGGCUCAUGAAGUCCUACGGAAGUAGUAUCUGAAGGAUCACCAUACCACCAGGCAAUGAGAGAAGCAAGCCUCUGAAGGGAGAUGUCUGCACAAGUAUGAAGGACUGAAAGGAUGUGUGAAGGAAGCUGCAGCACAGAUGGUAGUGGAAACAGUCUGAGCUGUGCCAGCCAUAGCCAGCAGUGAUUCACAUAGUCCCAGCUGUCCUUGAACUCACUAUAUAACUGAGGAUGACCUUGGAUUUCUGAAGAUCCUCCCACCUCCACUUUGCAAACGCUAAGAUGACAGGGUGCUAACCCCAUGUGACUCAUUAAUGAUAGAAUUUCCUGGAUGAAGUUACCUGGAAGACAAGAAGCAGAUGGCUGAGUGACCCCAGAGUUGUCAUUGUGCUUUGCUGAGUCUCUUUCAUUUUCUGGGAAAUAAAGAACUACCUUAUGUGACUGCUAAGGGCUCCAGGGCUCAAAAAACUCUACAGUCCAUGACUUGAGUUAUUCCAAAAAGCUAUUACUAAUAAAAAUAAUAGCUUCCAUUUUUUUUUUUGAGUACCGGCUCCAGUCUGGCAAUUACACUAGCAGACCCUACAUAUGACUCUUUCCUCUAGGCAUAACAUGAUUGCCAUCUUGAAAUAGAGAUUACCCUGGCCUGGUAACUAUAGCAACUAAUUGAGCAGAGCCCCACUAAGAUAGCAAUGGCUAUUAUAAGAGUGACUGAGUGAUUGACAACCCUAGUAGAAAAAAGAGAUGGGAGGGACAUAGGAUCCCUACCAGGAAUUCCAGCCAUUACUCUCCUCUGCUCUCCCCUGGCUACCAGUGAUCUUGGGAGAUGCUGACAUAUAUAAGAAGAUUAACUGAGAGAGGGACUCCAUGAUGCAGCUCCCAGGAGGCCACCAUCCUUGAUGGGAUGGGGUUGAGUGAUGCAGAUAUACGGGGACGAGUGACCCCCUGACCCAUGCCUUGUAAGGAAGUCCAGAAAACUCCUUGAUUCACCAGAUUGGACUUUGAUAGAAUUGUUACUUUGGUCUGUCAUUGAUGCCCUAUGUGAUCAGUAGACAUUUGUUCACAUCUACCCAGGAAGUUAACACCAUCCACCACAUCCAGAUAUUAAGACAUUGCCCCUAGUGACCCCCAUUAGCUGUGGAUAACACUAAGAUGCAGAGAAGUUAGUGGGCUGGUCAUAGUCCCAGGAUGCUCUGUACUAUAAGUUUCUUUCUAGCUUAUGGUCAAUUCAUCAAAGGGGAUUUAAAGUAAUGAGGAUUGGCUGACCUUGGGAACACCUCUCUCCUAAUAUUUGCCCAUCCAUCCUGCUAAUUGGUCUUACAGUUUUCAGCUCAAAAGCUUUCAUCCUGCUAGACUUAGGAGGAUGAGGGCUGACAAAAGGGCAGGGAACCUGGUGUGCUAAUGUUGACCUUGACAUGACAGCAUUCCUUUGCAGCCAAAUUCCUUUUUGCUAGGGACAUCAACCCUUGUAUGGCUGCUAUCUUAUUCCAAUCCUAAGCAUCAGGUAUGCAUCUAUUCACAAAUAUGGUUUUGUUUAAUUAGAUAAAUGCUAUCCCCUUUCCUAGUUUCCUCUCCGAAAGUACCCUAUACCCUCCCCUCACCCUGCUCCCCAACCUAGCCACUCCCACUUCCAGGCCCUGGCAUUCCCCUGUACUGGGGCAUAUAAUCUUUGCAAGACCAAGGACCUCUCCUCCC